GGCCCCAUCGUCUAGAGGCCUAGGACGCAAGGUUCUCAUCCUUGAAACUCGGGUUCGACUCCCGAUGGGGCCACUA
rnacentral:tRNA from 3 species